AAAGGCCCAGGCGACGACGGGUAGCCGGCCUGAGAGGGCGACCGGCCACACUGGGACUGAGACACGGCCCAGACUCCUACGGGAGGCAGCAGUGGGGAAUAUUGCACAAUGGGCGAAAGCCUGAUGCAGCGACGCCGCGUGAGGGAUGACGGCCUUCGGGUUGUAAACCUCUUUCAGCAGGGAAGAAGCGAAAGUGACGGUACCUGCAGAAGAAGCGCCGGCUAACUACGUGCCAGCAGCCGCGGUAAUACGUAGGGCGCAAGCGUUGUCCGGAAUUAUUGGGCGUAAAGAGCUCGUAGGCGGCUUGUCACGUCGGUUGUGAAAGCCCGGGGCUUAACCCCGGGUCUGCAGUCGAUACGGGCAGGCUAGAGUUCGGUAGGGGAGAUCGGAAUUCCUGGUGUAGCGGUGAAAUGCGCAGAUAUCAGGAGGAACACCGGUGGCGAAGGCGGAUCUCUGGGCCGAUACUGACGCUGAGGAGCGAAAGCGUGGGGAGCGAACAGGAUUAGAUACCCUGGUAGUCCACGCCGUAAACGGUGGGCACUAGGUGUGGGCAACAUUCCACGUUGUCCGUGCCGCAGCUAACGCAUUAAGUGCCCCGCUGGGGGAGAANNNNG
rnacentral:rRNA from 1 species